rnacentral:lncRNA from 1 species
CCAUUAUCUUCUUCUUCUGCAUAUUUGCAAUGGAGAGCCAAGCUUUUCGAAAAGGCGGGGAAAUUGCAGGCCUAGAGGUUCUUGCAGCCACCAUGUACACAUGUGUCGUAUGGGUCGUGAACUGCCAAAUGGCACUAUCCAUCAGCUAUUUUACCUAUGUCCAGCACCUAUUCAUCUGGGGAGGCAUUAUACUCUGGUAUAUAUUCCUCUUGGCCUAUGGAGCCAUGGAUUCUUCCAUAUCAAC